rnacentral:misc_RNA from 1 species
AACCUUAUGGACCUGCGGGCGUAUACCUGCGGAGGGAUCAUUACAUGGCGGAGGAGGUGGGCAUCGGGCGACCCCGUCCGGUGCGAUGCCUCCACGCUCUCCUACCCUUGUCUAUUGGCACCCUUUGUCGUUCCCUCGGCGGGUCCUGAAUCCGCCGACGGGCCACUUUACAACACCUUUUUGCAGUUAGCAUCCAAUUCUUCUGAUCAAAACGUUUAAAUCGUUACAACUUUCAACAAU